rnacentral:pre_miRNA from 1 species
UCUUAUGGAUGAGCAAAGAAAGUUUCUUGAGAUAGAAUCUACUCCUGGAGAAGAUGCUGUGAA